AUGGCUACUGGGUGUAAAAGAUAAAUCUUAUUCUAUCUGUUCUUCAUGAGUUUUAGAUAAUUUUAGUUGUAUUUCUUUGUAAUUUUGUGUUGUACAAAGAUUAAUUUAACAUUUUCUCUGGAAGUAUUAAUUUAGAAAGAUAAUAUGCUUCAUUGGUGUUGUGUUUUGAAGUGUGAAAUGCAAAGUAAUUGUGAUAAAGUCAAGAUCACUUUUAAACUGAACUAAAUAAGGUAUCUGAGAGACAACAAUGGUUAAAUGCAAUACAAUGUACAGGUUUUACUAGCGAAAUGAAAAUUUUCCUGUCCUGUCUGCUGUAAUCAUUUUAUAUCUGGAAAAUAGGAAAACCAGCCGACUUAAUCGAUAAUAACAAUCUCCAGAUUGGGUUCCUUCAAUAAAUAUGGGCUAUAAACACAAUGAAAUAAGUUCCCCAAAAUCUAAAAUGGAGUGGUAUCAAAGGAGAAUUAAAGGAAAAUAUUCAUAUUGAAAUUAUUUAUAAGGCACUGGACUGUCUCAAAUUCUACAAUAAUACUAGAAUCAGCUGAGAGAAGUGGUCUACAAAAAACCAGGAAGGAAACGGAAUAUGUGGCUACGAAAGGCAAAAGAAAGGUUUACAAAGCAAAUGUGACACAUUUUUUUGAAAUAUUUAGGAAUAUCAGUAAAUUGCAUUAAAAAAAUGUA